rnacentral:rRNA from 1 species
GACGAACGCUGGCGGCGUGCUUAACACAUGCAAGUCGAACGAAGAGCGAUGGAAGCUUGCUUCUAUCAAUCUUAGUGGCGAACGGGUGAGUAACGCGUAAUCAACCUGCCCUUCAGAGGGGGACAACAGUUGGAAACGACUGCUAAUACCGCAUACGAUCUGACCUCGGCAUCGAGGAUAGAUGAAAGGUGGCCUCUACAUGUAAGCUAUCACUGAAGGAGGGGAUUGCGUCUGAUUAGCUAGUUGGAGGGGUAACGGCCCACCAAGGCGAUGAUCAGUAGCCGGUCUGAGAGGAUGAACGGCCACAUUGGGACUGAGACACGGCCCAGACUUCUACGGGAGGCAGCAGUGGGGAAUCUUCCGCAAUGGACGAAAGUCUGACGGAGCAACGCCGCGUGAGUGAUGACGGCCUUCGGGUUGUAAAGCUCUGUUAAUCGGGACGAAAGGCCUUUUUGCGAAUAGUGAGAAGGAUUGACGGUACCGGAAUAGAAAGCCACGGCUAACUACGUGCCAGCAGCCGCGGUAAUACGUAGGUGGCAAGCGUUGUCCGGAAUUAUUGGGCGUAAAGCGCGCGCAGGCGGAUCGGUCAGUCUGUCUUAAAAGUUCGGGGCCUAACCCCGUGAUGGGAUGGAAACUGCUGAUCUAGAGUAUCGGAGAGGAAAGUGGAAUUCCUAGUGUAGCGGUGAAAUGCGUAGAUAUUAGGAAGAACACCAGUGGCGAAGGCGACUUUCUGGACGAAAACUGACGCUGAGGCGCGAAAGCCAGGGGAGCGAGCGGGAUUAGAUACCCCGGUAGUCCUGGCCGUAAACGAUGGGUACUAGGUGUAGGAGGUAUCGACCCCUUCUGUGCCGGAGUUAACGCAAUAAGUACCCCGCCUGGGGAGUACGACCGCAAGGUUGAAACUCAAAGGAAUUGACGGGGGCCCGCACAAGCGGUGGAGUAUGUGGUUUAAUUCGACGCAACGCGAAGAACCUUACCAGGUCUUGACAUUGAUGGACAGAACUAGAGAUAGUUCCUCUUCUUCGGAAGCCAGAAAACAGGUGGUGCACGGUUGUCGUCAGCUCGUGUCGUGAGAUGUUGGGUUAAGUCCCGCAACGAGCGCAACCCCUAUCUUAUGUUGCCAGCACGUAAUGGUGGGAACUCAUGAGAGACUGCCGCAGACAAUGCGGAGGAAGGCGGGGAUGACGUCAAAUCAUCAUGCCCCUUAUGACCUGGGCUACACACGUACUACAAUGGGAGUUAAUAGACGGAAGCGAGAUCGCGAGAUGGAGCAAACCCGAGAAACACUCUCUCAGUUCGGAUCGUAGGCUGCAACUCGCCUACGUGAAGUCGGAAUCGCUAGUAAUCGCAGGUCAGCAUACUGCGGUGAAUACGUUCCCGGGCCUUGUACACACCGCCCGUCACACCACGAAAGUCGGAAGUGCCCAAAGCCGGUGGGGUAACCUUCGGGAGCCAGCCGUCUAAGGUAAAGUCGAUGAUUGGGGUGAAGUCGUA